rnacentral:rRNA from 1 species
AGGACGAACGCUGGCGGCGUGCUUAACACAUGCAAGUCGAGCGGAAAGGCCCUUCGGGGUACUCGAGCGGCGAACGGGUGAGUAACACGUGAGCAAUCUGCCCCUAGCUUCGGGAUAGCUCCGGGAAACCGGAAUUAAUACCGAAUAUUACUACGGCCGACAUCGGCUGUGGUGGAAAGUUUUUCGGCUAGGGAUGAGCUCGCGGCCUAUCAGCUUGUUGGUGAGGUAACGGCUCACCAAGGCGACGACGGGUA